UCCUCGAGCGAGUAUGACCAGGUCCUCAUG
rnacentral:misc_RNA from 1 species